GGGGCUAUAGCUCAGCUGGGAGAGCGCCUGCUUUGCACGCAGGAGGUCUGCGGUUCGAUCCCGCAUAAGCUCCACCA
rnacentral:tRNA from 1 species